AUUGAACGCUGGCGGCAGGCCUAACACAUGCAAGUCGAACGGUAACAGAAAGCAGCUUGCUGCUUUGCUGACGAGUGGCGGACGGGUGAGUAAUGUCUGGGAAACUGCCUGAUGGGGGGGGAUAACUACUGGAAACGGUAGCUAAUACCGCAUAACGUCGCAAGACCAAAGAGGGGGACCUUCGGGCCUCUUGCCAUCGGAUGUGCCCAGAUGGGAUUAGCUAGUAGGUGGGGUAACGGCUCACCUAGGCGACGAUCCCUAGCUGGUCUGAGAGGAUGACCAGCCACACUGGAACUGAGACACGGUCCAGACUCCUACGGGAGGCAGCAGUGGGGAAUAUUGCACAAUGGGCGCAAGACUGAUGCAGCCAUGCCGAGUGUAUGAAGAAGGCCUUCGGGUUGUAAAGUACUUUCAGCGGGGAGGAAGGGAGUAAAGUUAAUACCUUUGCUCAUUGACGUUACCCGCAGAAGAAGCACCGGCUAACUCCGUG
rnacentral:rRNA from 1 species